rnacentral:misc_RNA from 1 species
CUGCGAGUUCGCGGGAGAGUAAGUUAUUGCCAGGGUUUUUAUUUUAUGCUUUAAACAUUGAUUUUAUUUUUUAUAUUUUUAGAUGUUCAUGUUUUUGAAUGUUUUAUUUAAAUAAUAUAAAAAAUAAAAUAUAUAUUGACAUGGAUUAAACAAAGAUAUAUAUUAUUCUAUGUUGCAUAAACAAAUUGGCAAAAUAGAGAUGGAAGAUAAAAAUAUGGUCAAAGUAAUAAGAGUCUAUGGUGAAUGCCUAGGA